rnacentral:rRNA from 1 species
CCGACACUGAAACUGAGACACGACCCCUACUCCUACGGGAGGUGGCAGUGGUGAAUAUUGGACAAUGGGCCUGAUCCUGAUGCGCCCAUGCCGCGUGUAUGAACAACGCCUUCGGGUUGAAUUUAACUUUCAGCGGGGAGGAAGGCGAUAAGGUUAAUAACCUUUGACAUUGACGUUACCCGCAGAACAAGCACCGGCUAACUCCGUGCCCGCGCCGCGGUAAUACGUGAGGGUGCAAGCGUUAAUUUACAAUUACUGGGCGUAAAGCGCACGCAUUCGUUCUGUCAAAUCGGAUGUGAAAUCCCCGGGCUCAACCUGUGAACUGCAUUCUGGACUGCUAGGCUAGAGUCUUGUAUAGGGGAAUUUAAUUCCAGGUGUAGAGAUGAAAUGAUUAAAGAUCUAAAGGAAUACCGGAGGCGAAGGCGGCCCCCUGAACAAGAACUGACGCUCAGGUGCCAAGGCGAGCAAAGCAAACAAGAUAACAUGCCCUGCCACUCCACACCGUAUACCAUGUCGACUUGGAAGUUGUGCCCAUGAGGCGGGCGUUCCUGAGCUAACGCGUUGACCCCACGGCCUGUACGGUACCGCCGCAAGGUCAAAACUCAAAUGACU